CAGAUAACAAAAACACUAACCAGCAUAGUGGGGGUGAAAUUCCAGCUCAGACAAUUCAGUGCCCACUGAAGACAUCACAAGCAUACAUGUUAUCCAUUCCACUUAGGAUCAGGGUGAUCACAUGAAUGCUUCCAAGAGCCUCAAUCAAGUCAUUCCCAGUGGAUCACAGUUAUGUGUAAGGUGACACACGUUUGUCACC
rnacentral:lncRNA from 1 species